CGAGCAAUGUGUAAAAAUUAGAGGCAGCCACAGAAGGCUUGAGUGAAGAAGCCUCUGGGCGAUUGUAAAAGGAUUGACCACUCUCCUGGCUGUAGGAAUUGUUUCUUUGAAGUGUUAAUAUGGGUCACUCCCAUAGCAAGCCCACCCCUUUAGAAACCAUGCUGAAAAAUUUCAAAAAGGGAUUUAGUGGAAAUUAUAAAGUAACUAUGACAC